UUCAAGGAGCAUUACUCACAUUUGAGGAACAGAGAUGGCAUGCAGUGCUCAGUUAGCAUCUGUUUGUCCUUGAUGUUUCCUUUUAUCACUUAUAGACCUUAGCUUAUGUAAUGAGCAUGCACUUAAACUGCAGCUUUCCUCCACUCACUCUAAUUGCAAAGCUGAGCUACAAGCCUCUGAGCUUAAUGUGACAGUUUCAUUAAGUUUAGAGUUUCUUUCGGUUUGUAGGUUUUCUUGUAAAGAUCCCUCAGUUCUUGACGAACUGACAACUAACUUUAAAUUAUUGUUAAAGCUGAUUUUCCCUUUAAAAUGAUCUCUAAUGCCCAUCCUGUUUUAGGACCCUUACUCUUGCUUUAUUAUUUUCUGAUCAUGGGGACAGAGCCACUAGCUUUGAGUGUGCUAGUAAAUUGAACUGAUGGUGAUCUGUAUUUCUAGUUCCCGUUAAAAAUUGAAAAAAUAAAAAAAUACCCUGACUAGAUAGCUUAAGCAGGUCUUGAGCUUGUGGUCCUCUUGCAUAAACUUCCAGAGUAGCUAUGAUCACAUGUUGUGGGAAAAAAAAAAAAAAAAACAAACAAAACAUGAAACGGCACUUUCCCAGCCUAGUGCCCGCGACUCUCAGCCUCCGCAGCUUGGCUGGCCAUGCACUGGUAGGCAAUGGCUGACCUGUUUUUAUCUCAUGGAGAUUCUGUCUCUGAACUCCACAAUCUCUCCACCCAGCUCACUAGAUUCUCACUGGUGAGUUGCUACCAUGCCAAUCCCAUGCUUCAAAUCCCUCACUACCUUUGUGGAGCACCUAAGGCAAGCCCGUACUUGGCUACUGUACUUUUCUCUCUUCAACCCAGACAAGCUGCUGCAUAAAGGAAACCACAACACAAAUUUAGUUCAGAAACAAUGGUAACUCAAUCUUUGGGCACAACUAAAACCUAAUUUUGUAAGCCUUAUUAAAAUCUGAUUCCUCCAGUGGCAAAUCCUUGAGGAUAUGCCAUGAUAUCGGGAAACUAUAGCAGCUACAUCUUACCCUUCUGUUGUCCCCAUUCACCAAAAUGGACCUAACUUUCUCCUGCUUCCUCUCUUCAUCCAUCCAACCCAGAAGUCCCGCCUACUCACCCAGUGAUUGGCUCCUUUAUUCAUUAUGGAAUUGGCUCACAAGAAGCCACUUGAAUCUUGACUCCUUCCUUAUUCCAGACACCCUCUCCCGGGAGAGCAAGCAGCACAGAGCCAUCUACAACAAUCACAGGCAAAUGUCACUACAUAUAACACUUUUAAAAAUAUGUUCCCCAAAUUAUGGCCCAUAAGUACUUGCUUAAAAGAAGUUUAUACAGCCUGAUUGCUAUGAAGUCCAAUAAUCUGGGAAAUGAUGAGUGAAAAUUAUGUACAAAUUUUAUUUUCUUAUCUAUUAGAACAUUUUCUGGUAUAUGAUAUUACUACAAGUUAUAUAGCAUGUAGCAUUUACAAAAUGAUAUGAUAUGGAAACUUUUAUUGAAUACAAAAUCUUCUAAGUGUAAUUUUUUCAAUUCCUGUUUUUAAUGAUGGUUUUUAAACAUUUUAACCUUCCUUUUAACUCAUCAUCCACCAAAAGUAGUGUACAAGAAAGUGGGGGGGGGGGCAGUGAACUUGUUUACAAAGGUUUUUUUUUUAGCGCAACUCCUGUCUGUUGUCUAAAAAUCAGCAGUUUAGUUCACAGGUCGGCAAACAGCGGCAUCUCAAUCCACUCACAAACACUUCACAAAUACACCAGCAGUCCAGUUCGGUAGAGUUGGGUUAACGACUGUGGUGACAGGACCCAUCAGAAAAAGCCAGGCCUCAGCCUCAGCUAGAGUCAGCAGGAGGGACCCAAAGCGACACUAGGAAAUGUUCUCUGCUAUGCUUCUCUCGGAGGAGUGAAGAUCAACGAAGAUGAGAGACCCACAAGCAUUGCACACGUAGCAUACCAGCAUGCCAAGCUCUAUCCUAUUGUGCCCUCCAAAUAUCUUUGUCCACCAUGUGCGUUGCCUCAGCAUGUACAUCCAAUCAUCCUGAUCCUUGAAAGUGGC
rnacentral:lncRNA from 1 species